rnacentral:rRNA from 1 species
AGAGUUUGAUCCUGGCUCAGGACGAACGCUGGCGGCGUGCCUAAUACAUGCAAGUCGAGCGAAUCGAUGGGAGCUUGCUCCCUGAGAUUAGCGGCGGACGGGUGAGUAACACGUGGGCAACCUGCCUAUAAGACUGGGAUAACUUCGGGAAACCGGAGCUAAUACCGGAUACGUUCUUUUCUCGCAUGAGAGAAGAUGGAAAGACGGUUUACGCUGUCACUUAUAGAUGGGCCCGCGGCGCAUUAGCUAGUUGGUGAGGUAAUGGCUCACCAAGGCGACGAUGCGUAGCCGACCUGAGAGGGUGAUCGGCCACACUGGGACUGAGACACGGCCCAGACUCCUACGGGAGGCAGCAGUAGGGAAUCUUCCGCAAUGGACGAAAGUCUGACGGAGCAACGCCGCGUGAGUGAUGAAGGCUUUCGGGUCGUAAAACUCUGUUGUUAGGGAAGAACAAGUACGAGAGUAACUGCUCGUACCUUGACGGUACCUAACCAGAAAGCCACGGCUAACUAUGUGCCAGCAGCCGCGGUAAUACGUAGGUGGCAAGCAUUAUCCGGAAUUAUUGGGGCGUAAAGCGCGCGCAGGCGGUUUCUUAAGUCUGAUGUGAAAGCCCACGGCUCAACCGUGGAGGGUCAUUUGGAACUG